CCCUGGCUAGCUCAGUCAGUGGAGCGUGCGACUCUUGAUCUCAGGUUUGUGAGUUCGAGCCCCAUGCUGGGUG
rnacentral:tRNA from 1 species